rnacentral:rRNA from 1 species
CCCUUAGAUGCUCUGGGCCGCACGCGCGCUACACUGGUCGAUGCAACGAGUUUCUUUCCUUGGCCGACAGGCCUGGGCAAUCUUUGAACAUCGAUCGUGAUCGGGAUAGAUUCUUGUAAUUUUUGAUCUUAAACGAGGAAUUCCUAGUAAACGCAAGUCAUCAGCUUGCAUUGAUUACGUCCCUGCCCUUUGUACACACCGCCCGUCGCUCCUACCGAUUGAAUGUUCCGAUGAAUACCAUGGACUGAGAGUAUGAAUGGGUUCGCCUAUUUCUGCUUCUCGGGAAGUGGAGUAAAUCUUAACAUUUAGAGGAAGGAGAAGUCGUAACA